rnacentral:lncRNA from 1 species
CAAUGAGGUUUCUCUUAAAUUAUUUCUCACAUUCUUUUUGUAUUCUUGAAAGAUAUUUCUUUAAGAUUAGUGAUGCAAGUUUAAUACACUAUAAACAAAUAUUCUGAAUAUAUUUCAGAUUUAUUCAUGUAUAUGUCAGUCAUUUUUCAGAGACUAAGGUAUAUAUAAGGAGUAGAAUCAACCUCUUGUAACAGCUGAAAAUUUUUUGAAUGCCAAAAAAUGUUACAUUUAGUUCUUAAAUGUUACAUCCAUAUUUGAGCGAAGCAACUUCUGUGGAGUCUGCUUCAUAGAAAUGAUAAUUAUUUCUUAAAUUUUUUUAGCUUCAUCCUGUACAAAACAGUUUAUUGCCUGUAUCUGAUGGUAGGAUUUCUCCAUACACAACUUUUCAAGUCUAUAUUUAUUAUACACAACUACUCUUGUUACAAAGCAAACUACAUGCAUACCCUAAGAGGUUGUUGUUAACUGACAAUUGGCCUGCUCUAUGUGUUGGAACCUCUCUCAACCAAGAUCAUUGUGGUGUCAGGGUACAAGAAAGCUGAGUCUUCUGUCAUUAAUAUCUGAUUAUUGCCCAUAAUCCCAAGUUAAAGGCAUAUAUAUUCACUCCUCAUAACCUCUUGUAUCUUUGCAUAAUACCUCAGGUGCUGGAUUCUGCUACCACUACACUCCAUUGACUUCACAGACCAACUUUUACAACAGGUUAUAAGGUUCUCUGACUAUCAACAAUAUAGCUAUAACAUAGCCAUGGGAGGGUGGCUAGCAGGUUUGAAGCUAGACAGAGGAACAACUGAGUAAUUCUGUCAUCCAAUGAGGAAAGGAAAGUUUCAAGUAAGUUAUGUCUAUGAGUAAAAUGGUAAGUAUGAGUAUUAACUAUGUUUUAACUUUAUAUUUCAUUUUGAGAGAAUAAUUAUUGUUUAUGUUAUACAUUUUUUUUUUUCUUUUUUUCUUUUUUACAGCUCAUAAUCUAGUUCAGAAGUAUGUGAAACGUCUUUUACAAGGUGGUCCUGUUUUCAGCUUUCAAUUUGGUACAUUUUAUUUAUGUCAGAAUUUAAUAUCUAAUUUUCAUAUGUAACUAAAUAUAAUAUAAAUUAAUUUAUCCAAUAUGUUUUCAUUAUAUCAUAAUAGCUAAUUUCUACUGGACCAGUCAUUCAUUUUAAUUGUAUAUUACCCAGCAUGACAAAUUCAUCAUACAAGUUUCCAUUGGCUUUAAAUGAGCAGAGUAGAUAAAGUAUCCUUUGUGCUGGGUAUGACAAAUUUGUCUAGUUUCCUCUGUCAGAGGUGACCAACUGGAGGCUAGUUGGUUAAGCCUGAGGGGAGCUAUGCCCAAUGAACAGAACAUAUGUGUAGUUUGGAAUCUCCUCAUUUUUAUAAUGUUUUAUGACCUUGAUGACAGAAUUUGCCAUUGUUGUUACAAUGAUGAAAUAAGGACUUACAAAUGUCAUUAUCUAACAUGAUGGCAUAUGUCAUGAUCGCAAAAUUGCUUUUUGAGGUAUUUGCGUCAAAAAAUAACUUUGACUUUAGUCAGUGCAUAUACACUACUGACCAAAAUUAACACGCCACUCUCACACUAUCAGCUCAGUUCAAAAUCAUAUUCAUAUUCAAUUCAAAAUCAAUUCAUAUAAACAGCUUCACUGUUUAUAUGAAUUUUUCUUGAAUCACUGAAUAAAAUAAAUAUAAAUAUAAAAUAAAUAAAAUCCAAUAAAAAUCAUUGAAAGUUUCAUGUAGAUUACCAAGGAAAAGGUUUUGUUAAAAAUUCCCUCUUUUGUCUAGCCUUGCUUUGAUUAUGGUUUCUUUUACUUUGGUACUUCAAACAAUCUGUACUUGACUAAUUUAUUGCAAUUUUCAUCAGAUUUUCACCUGUUUUACAAAGAGUUCUUUAAAUAUUUUGGUGAGUAAAUUAUUUUUUAGGCAAAUUCAUUUUGAAAUGUGACUUUAAGAUGUUUUUGGAAUCUAAUUAUCCACUUAUCAUUGAAAAACAGUAUUUGAUUACUUAGGCCCAAUUUAUGUAUGGGCCCAGUUCCUAGGCUGAGUAUAGAAGAUAGGAUGAGAGUUGUUGUUAUCCACAAAGAAGGCAGCAAUAAAAUUACUGAAAGUAUGACAGUAGCAAGUCUACUGUGCAGGAGAUAGUUAAGAAGCACAAAGAAACAGGAACAGGGAGGUCAAGAAGAAUUUUGACAUUGACUUGAAUGGUUGGACAAUGAGGAGAAGACUUCUGGAGAGUGGUUUCAGGUAUUGUAAGACCAAGAAGAUGCCAGAGGUUUCAUCUGGGAAGAAGCCCUGAUGAGAGCAGAUUUUGCUUAAUAAGCGAUAGGCCUGUAUCGGGCAGAAUAAGAAAAGGAGAGGAAUACCUUCCUGUAUUCCUGAAUCUCACAGGUAGGCAUGGUGGUGGUAGUAUCAUGGUCAGGGACUGUACUACUAGCAAAGGUGUUGACUGAUUGUACAGAAUCAAUGGAACAGUUAACAGAGAGUAUUACUACUGUGCAGUUCCAUCUCUAAUCCAUUAUUUUGAGGAUAGUGAAGCAGUAUUCCAGCAGGACAGUGCUCCCUGCCACACUGCAAAGAUUAAGACCUGGGUGGCCAAAAAUAAGGUGACAGUUUUGGAAUGGCAUGGUAAUAUUCCUGAUAUGAACCCUAUUGAGCAUUUUUGGGACUAUAUUGCAAAGAAAAUUGAAUCUGCAGUGUUUAAAAACAAUGGGAGAAGGUAAACAAAGAAUGGCAUAACAUUCAUAUUGAAUAUAUAACUAAGUUGUAUGAGAGUAAGAAUGAAGAAUCAAUGCAAUAAUAAAGGCAGAAGGAUGAUCUACCAGAUAUUAGAGCUAUUUCUUUAUGUAAAAGAUGUAAAAAUAAGAUAUAAGUGUUCUAAAUGACAAAUUUAAUCAUUUAUUGUAAGUCUGUGGCUAUAAAUUCAUCAGUGACUCUAAAAAUAUGUGAUUUUCUUAAAUAAAACCAAGAAAAAUGCUUUCCCAGGAAGGGUGGCGUAUUAAUUUUAGCCAUUAGUGUAACUCUUCAAUACCAGAACAUUAUUUUGCGUGGAUAAGGGAAAUAUAUGUGGUACAUAAUUAGUCAUUAUGUUUUUCAAUUAGGAAAUAAACUGUGAAAGAAAA